UCUGCCCCCGAGUGCUGGGAUUAAAGGUGUGCAACUACCAUGCCUAGCCAGUACCAAUAUUCUUGUGUUUUGGGGUUAGUACUAAGUAAAAUAAGGAAGGGUCCCCAAAACUCAAGCAUUUAUAAUACCAAUACAAUCUCCUGUGACUAGCAGGUGGGUAGUAUAUAUAGCAGGGAUGCCCUGGACAAAGGGAUGAGUGACAUCCUGAGUGGAAGGAAGCCAGUUAGUGCAAACUUUGUCACAUACUCAGAAUGGCACACAAUUUAGAACUGAUAAAAUAUUUCUGUGAUGUUCCACUUAAUGUCUUGAAACCACACGUGACUAUGGAUAACUGAAACCACACAAGGUCGGACAGUGAGAGAGAACGAUACCAAAGUAUAGGAAAGGUCAAGAAGUUGUAGGGCCAGCAAGAGAGAGCCUGGGGCCAUUGUCCUACCCAGGCAUGAAGGUGAGAGUGAAGAGGACCAGGCACGGCAGUGAGAAUGCAGUCUUCAGCCUUCUGGUGCUUUCCUCCCUAACCUACCAGUCUCUUUCCAGAAGCUUCUAGCCAAUCUACCAACAACCAGCCCAAAGGGCAAAGCAAGACUAAAGUGUCCCUCGAUGGCGUGGCCUGUGCAUGAAGGAUAAAUGGUGCAUAGUCUCAUGAUGGAUCCCUGUAUGUCUCUUUAAAAGAUGACACCAGCAUUAUGCUCAGACCUGGACAAGAGGAAGCAAUGAAAACACACAAGACUGUCCUGUUUCAACACUGAAAAUGCCCCACAUCCUAGGGUACCAUCCUAGAGGUGAAUCUGGAGUAUGGUGGCUGUUCUUGGAUGUCAGCUUGACGUCAUCUGGAACUAACUAAAACCCAAGCAGCUGGGCAUGCCUGUGAAAGAUUUUUCUUGUUUGAAUCAUCUGGGGUGGAAAUACCUACCCUAAUCUGGAUCCUUUUGUGUGGGAAGAUCUACUUUAAAUCUGGGCCACAACUUCUGGUGGCAGCCUAUAUAAAGGACAUAGAAGAAUGAA